UAAAAAGUAUUCUGAAUCAGGCCGGGGUGUAUUAACCCCGUCAACACGGUUAACUAUCUUGCCGGUUGCCUGAUUCCUUGCAUUGAUGAGUGAUGUACGGAGCUUAAGAGC
rnacentral:ncRNA from 1 species